CUCAAAACUUUAUUACUGCCUAUCAAUUCAAUUAGAAGAAUAGUUUCAUUCUCAUACUCCUUCAUGCGUAGUUAAACUAUCUACCAUUUUAACAUCACCUUACUACAUGGAUGAUAACCUUCUCCCUCUGUAAGCCACAUCACAUCACUGCAUGGGCAAUUGUGAUGGACAAAAAUCUAUACAUCUUUGACUCGAUAUCUUUUCUUUAAGCCAAA
rnacentral:misc_RNA from 1 species